UGGGGAAUAUUGGACAAUGGGCGCAAGCCUGAUCCAGCAAUGCCGCGUGUGUGAAGAAGGCCUUAGGGUUGUAAAGCACUUUCAAUUGGGAAGAAAAGCGCAAGGUUAAUACCCUUGUGUCUUGACGGUACCUUUAGAAGAAGCACCGGCUAACUCCGUGCCAGCAGCCGCGGUAAUACGGAGGGUGCAAGCGUUAAUCGGAAUCACUGGGCGUAAAGCGCACGCAGGCGGUUUGCUAAGUCAGAUGUGAAAGCCCCGGGCUCAACCUGGGAACUGCAUUUGAUACUGGCAAGCUAGAGUAUGGUAGAGAGAAGUGGAAUUCCACAUGUAGCGGUGAAAUGCGUAGAGAUGUGGAGGAACAUCAGUGGCGAAGGCGACUUCUUGGACCAAUACUGACGCUCAGGUGCGAAAGCGUGGGGAGCAAACAGGAUUAGAUACCCCCGUAGUCC
rnacentral:rRNA from 1 species